GCUUAACCGGAGAAGUGCAUCGGAAACCGGGAGACUUGAGUGCAGAAGAGGACAGUGGAACUCCAUGUGUAGCGGUGAAAUGCGUAGAUAUAUGGAAGAACACCAGUGGCGAAGGCGGCUGUCUGGUCUGUAACUGACGCUGAGGCUCGAAAGCAUGGGUAGCGAACAGGAUUAGAUACCCUGGUAGUCCAUGCCGUAAACGAUGAGUGCUAAGUGUUGGAGGGUUUCCGCCCUUCAGUGCUGCAGCUAACGCAUUAAGCACUCCGCCUGGGGAGUACGACCGCAAGGUUGAAACUCAAAGGAAUUGACGGGGGCCCGCACAAGCGGUGGAGCAUGCGGUUUAAUUCGAUGCUACGCGAAGAACCUUACCAGGUCUUGACAUCUUCUGCCAACCUAAGAGAUUAGGCGUUCCCUUCGGGGACAGAAUGACAGGUGGUGCAUGGUUGUCGUCAGCUCGUGUCGUGAGAUGUUGGGUUAAGUCCCGCAACGAGCGCAACCCUUAUUGUUAGUUGCCAGCAUUCAGUUGGGCACUCUAGCAAGACUGCCGGUGACAAACCGGAGGAAGGUGGGGAUGACGUCAAAUCAUCAUGCCCCUUAUGACCUGGGCUACACACGUGCUACAAUGGACGGUACAACG
rnacentral:rRNA from 1 species